rnacentral:piRNA from 1 species
UUAAAUCAUACUGCUUCGUGUUAAA